GGUCUGCGCCCGCCUCCCCAUCGUCUCCUGGUCGCCUCCCCACUGCGCUGCGCAGGCCGUAGCCCUGGCUCUCCCCCCCCCCCCCCACCCCCUACCUUAGCUGUCCUGGGAGGCACAAGCCUCCGAAUCCAUGGGAACAGAGACGACCACUUUCUUGUCUAGAUGAGGAAGAAAGGAAGGAGGGAAAAGACAUGGAAGAAGCAUUUUUAUGAUGUCCAAUGCCAUGACUGGGCAUAGAAAGGGGAGGGAGGGCUCAUGAGACCCUGUGGUGUUUUUAAAUGUUUUCCCGUAGCUCAUUAAAAGCGAAUGGACAGGGACAAACAUUUACCGAAUACUUCCGUACCAGCCACUGUCCUAGGUGCUUUCCUGAUGUUCCUGUAUUUAAUCUUCAUAACCAUUUGAAUGAGGAUCAGGGUGUGGGCUGCCCUGAGUCAUCCAUCUCCUGGUAACAUAUAGAUCCCAGAAAAAAAUCAAAACAAGAACACUGAAACAGACGUGUUUCACAGAGAGCAAAGGUCUGAAGCCUCACCCAACCCUGUGGAGAGCCCUGGAGCUGAAAUGACUGUCAGAGUUGUCCCAAAGUGAGCCAAAAUGGCUGGAACUUUAUACCCUCACCUCAAUGGGGUGACUUCCUACAAGCAGCAAUCUGCAGCCAAAAGACCUGACAGCUAGAGGCUGUCAGCCAACAGCACUCCAACAGCUGGAACAGAGUCCUUCACUGAAGGGGAUCUGAAUAGUACAUCUCUGUAUCUGCUACUAAUGCACCUGUAUGAUGUAAGGCAUACAAAUCUAAAACACUUUGCAUAGUAGGUGAAGCUGAUUUUAGAAAAUUGUUUUUUACACCAGUGGGCUUUUCUGACAACUUUCCAUAAAUCUACAGAUCCAAUACAACUCUAUUUAUGUGUCCCUCCCUUCUUUAUUUGUAUCUUUUCUUGUGCUUUAUACCCUAAAUAUCCAUCUUCCCCUUUUCUUCAUUCAUUCUUCUUUUCUGUCCUCCUUCAUUCUGGAAACUUUCAGAAAUUCCUCCUGUCUGAUAUUUUUUUCCCUACUGCAAUUUUCCCAUCUUCAACUCCUUCUACUGAAGGUAACUCAUAACUAUUACAUUUAAUUUAACAAUUCCAGGCCCUGUUUUUCAUCACGUAAAAAAAUCACUUGUGUAUGCAGUGACAGCAUUAAUUACAAGUGGAGUGGUUAUCAUCUUUAAUAUGGUAUUGAGAAGGAAAAGCUUGGGCUGGGCCAACACUGGGCUGGGCUAACUCAUAAAUUUUAAGUUAACUCAUGAAUUUUAAGUUUCACCUUGCUAGACUGGUUUCGGGUUAUUGCAAGCGACCCUUUGCUUCCGCUUUUAUGAUACUGCCUAGCUGUACUCACCCUAUUGGCUGAUGGACCCCGAGCUUGUAAGCGACCCUAUAAAACCUCACUCACACUUCCCAGAGGCACUCAGAGCUCUGGAGCAAUAGCCCCUCUGAGCUCGCCGGCAUAAUAAACCUGAGUACU